AGUUAAUCUGCAGUUUUAAGUAGGUUACCAAAUAACUCCCCACUCUCCCCUCUUUGUCCGUAUUUCAGGGUUAUCAAUCCUGCAGUUUAAGUAGGUUAUAAAUGGUUUCUUGCUGACAACCUCAAGAACGCAUAUCAGACUUCCCAGUAUCAUCAUCGCACUCCCUCAUUUGGCAUCCCAAAACUUGCAUCACAGAUAUCCUAUUUUCUUGAUUCUUGCUCCGAAUAAAACUGGGUUUCUUUUCGUUCUUCGGCAUCAUGGAUUCUUCUUCGGGAUCAGAAUUUGAUUAUUUGUUCAAGUUAUUGAUGAUUCGGGAUUCAUGCUUUGGUUGUUUAAUUUCGACGGCAGUAACCUGCGUAUAAUCUGCUGAUAUCUAGGUUUUGUUCAUACAUCGCUUACAAGGAAAUUGGGACAUUUUUCAUCCUGAAUUCUUCCCAUAGGCAUGUUGUUUCUCACUUUCUCUUGAUGGACCAGUGGUGACUGCAUUAGGCUUUGGGGAUGAGCUUGGAGUUGUCACACACUCUUCUCCAUCCCUCCCUUUGAAUGAGCAAAUGCUAACGUUUGAUAUUCUUAACCUCCCUCAAAAGGUGAGUUGGUUGGUCAAUUACCUUAAGAAAUCUGCUAAUUGAAUUUUUUUACUCUGAUUUAUGUAAUUUUAAAUGAUUGUCUGAUCGAGUGCAUGGCAGCCAUCUCUUAAUAUUUAAACUGUUCUCACAAACAUUAGGCUAUUAUUGAAUGAACUACCUUCCAUGAUGAUAGACUAAUGUGUGAAGCUAGAACGAAGUAUAAAUACAAUAAACAAGUUUUUGACCAGAAAGCAAGUUCGAUGAUCGAAAAUAUGUUGGAUCUGGUGCUUGUCCAAAUCAUGGUGGGAUUCAAUUUGUCACAUAUGUAAUCAUGGUAUGUAUGUAUGUAUGUGUUGCUUGAAAAGCAGGUGAUGGACUAAUGAUCUCAAGGAUCGAGCGAGUCAAUGACAAUGAGGGUUGCCCUGUUUUGUUGGUUCGAACUGACCAACCUAAUUGAGGUGUUAUGUGUACAAAUCAUACUUUUUGUGUCACCAUUGUUGAUAUUACAACCUAAAGACAUUCGUUUUGUGACCACUUUCUUGGUUUCAUUUAGAAAAUUCGGGGGUGGAGCUAUAGUCGGUGUAGUUUUUAAAUAGCUUUAUUUAUUUUCUGUCUGUUGCAAAAUACACCACAUCAAACCAUAGUUACUGCUUGGCUCAAGUGGGUUCCACAGGAACCCGUGAAAACACCAGUGGAGUGAAACUUAAAUAAAAAUGGCAGAUGCAAUAGCAAUAGAUACAGGUUGCUUGGCGACUGCACCAGGCAAACUUUUUUCAUCCAUAGCAGGUACUUUUGAAAUUCUAUUAUUUUGACUGCAUGUUUUUAGCUAUUAAUUUAUUGCAUUUAUCUUCUCUUGCUACAUAGGAAUAGUAUUUUUUUGUUGCCAUUCCACUGUUCAUUAUGAUAAAACCACAAUUUUCCGUGUUACUAUUGUUGAUAUCACAAUCUGCAGACAUGACAUUUGUUUAGAUAAGGGUUGUUAAAUGGGGCAAUGGGGCAAAACUUGGAAAAUAUAGAUGGUAUGAAAAUGGGUCAAACAGGUUGAAACACACAAUAAGAAGAUGGUUGUUCUCUUAAUCUCUUGUCUUGUAAGAUUGAGGGAUCUCCAAUUGUGGGUGCAAAAAAUAAUUAAUUUGAUGGUGCGCGCUACUUUCAUAAUGGCAGUGUGAAUAUAAUGUUUAUACAACAAAUAAGAUAGAAUUUUGAUUUAUUAGGUCAAAUGAAAAUGCCAUUUUUGGUAUGAUAUCUAUAAUUUCAAGAUAAAUAUAACAAUUGGGACUUUAACAUAUGAGGAGAAGAAGCAACUGGCAUGAAAGAGAUGCAAAGAAGGCAAGGGAUGUCGAAUUAAAAAAAAAAAAAUCAUAUAUAAUGAAUUCACUUUGAGGUGUAUUUUUUUGUUGGAAUCAUAUGUAAGCUGACUUUAUUUUGUUUUAAAACAUUAAAAACUAGAUUGGAUCGGAA